AAAUAUGAAGCAAAAUUUGCAUUUAAUUUCGACUUAAAAGAAUGAGUUAUUACUCCAUAUUUA
rnacentral:tRNA from 1 species